CCAAUAGCGUAUAUUAAAGUUGUUGCAGUUAAAAAGCUCGUAGUUGAAUUUUAGGCCUGGCCGGGCGGUCCGUCUUUGGCGAGUACUGUCCUGUGUCGGGUCCACCUUCUGGUGAACCAGUAUGUCCUUUAUUGGGUGUUUUGGGGAGCCAGGACCAUUACCUUGAAAAAAUUAGAGUGUUUAAAGCGGGCUAUUGCUUGAAUAGAUUAGCAUGGAAUAAUAGAAUAGGACGGCAUGGUUCUAUUUUGUUGGUUUCUAGGAUCACCGUAAUGAUUAAUAGGGAUAGUUGGGGGCAUUAGUAUUCAAUUGUCAGAGGUGAAAUUCUUGGAUUUAUUGAAGACUAACUACUGCGAAAGCAUUUGCCAAGGAUGUUUUCAUUAAUCAAGAACGAAAGUUAGGGGAUCGAAGACGAUCAGAUACCGUCGUAGUCUUAACCAUAAACUAUGCCGACUAGGAAUCAGACGAUGUUAAUUUUUUAAUGACUCGUUUGGCACCUUACA
rnacentral:misc_RNA from 1 species